rnacentral:rRNA from 1 species
UACGUAGGGGGCAAGCGUUGUCCGGAUUCAUUGGGCGUAAAGAGCGUGUAGGCGCCAGGUAGGUCGGUUGUGAAAACUGGAGGCUCAACCUUCAGAGGUCGACCGAAACCAUCUGGCUAGAGUCCGGGAGAGGAGAGUGGAAUUCCUGGUGUAGCGGUGAAAUGCGCAGAUAUCAGGAAGAACACCCGUGGCGAAAGCGGCUCUCUGGAACGGUACUGACGCUGAGACGCGAAAGCGUGGGGAGCGAACAGG